rnacentral:misc_RNA from 1 species
CGUCGUAGUAAACAUAACACAUUUACCACUGAAGUGUGUUGUAGGGAAUAUGGCCCGCUGUCAGGCAAAUUUGGGGGCGGCUACACGUCUACCGCAAGCAAGGGGAGUACAUCAACUGCCCAGUGGCAGAUUACCGAAGACAAAGAGGAUGAAGAAACUGGUGAGGAUGAAGAAACUGGAGAGGAUGAAGAAACUGGUGAGGAUGAGGUUGAUGGGAAAGACGUGUAGUGAAAGCGGGAAUAUGGAAAGAUACCUGACACCUAAGAAAAAGCCGCGUGUGUGGAAGAAGACAACAGAUGACACGACAGGUGGGAGUGUGUCAGCCGCCCACCAGGACCCUACAGUUGGCGAGGUUCCUCAAGAGCCUGAAGACAAGGUACUCAAGAGGGAAGCCACAGAUGAAUCACAGAUACUUCUCGUCUGGAGGCCGGGGUCACCUACCAGCCUUUGUGUGUGUGAAGAUGAUUAUCAACCCUUCCGCGAAAUCGUUUGUAUCGUUCAUCUUGAAGAACAUGCGGACGUUGAGGAAGUCCAGUCACUGGCGCUUGUCACCUCGAAGUCGCAGAUGUUAGAUCACGAAAUAGCUGACAACGACUAUCAGCCUCCUCAGGAGAUCGUGGGAACCGUAGAACCUAAGAAACAUAUGGAAGCCGAAGAAGUUUGGUCACUGGUGUUUGUUUCCUUGAAUUGGAAUCAGCAUCACACGGUCCUGAGCUCAAUGAUGACAGGUCAAGACACUAGGGGACUCUUGUUCACCUGCCGUCAACUCCACCAAGGAGGUCCUGGCAGUGUAACUUUCAAGUUGAACUUCAGGUCAGUGAUGAGGUACCUCAGGAACUUCUACGAGACCGAGAUCUACCUGAUGGAGGUCAUAGAAGAGCAUGAGUAUCAGGUCACAACAAGGUUCCUCGUAACAUCCCGGAUGGAUCCCACUAUGCCCUUUCUUCCGGAAUAUGACCCUAAGGUGCGAGGGGGACCCUGGUAUAGGAGUCCUGACGGGGAAGAUUUGUGCCUGAAGAAGAUCAAGACUUACGAUCACAAGCAUCCUGACGAAGGUCUCCCACAUAACCUAGAGUUCUUUUUUAAGCUUACUGACGAUCAGUACCAUCAACUACACCAAAUGUCUUCCUUGGAGUAGCAUGAAAAUGGUAAACAGUUAAGAGCAACACGAGCGGACGGAAACAGUCGUGUGUCUAAGGUCAGCGAACUUUCCGAAAAAAAAAUAAUCAGACAAAGACAUUAACAAUAGCUUAUAGCAUUAAUACAAAAUGAGUCAACACAAAAAUGUACAAUCCCAGAGUUAUUUUCUUCAACCUUCUCUCCUUCUGUGUGUUUCCCGGUGAUGUGAUAAUGUCAAGAAAAAGUUACAACGAAUAAAUGUCACGACCUUUACUAAAUAUCCUCCACGGAGAAAGAAGAACUGAUAAACUCUCGGGAAAUGUUAGAGUUCUUUUUUUAUCGUUCUCACCAGACAAUCUCUACAUGUCAUACAAUUGUUCAACAUGUAGGUUAUUUUUUGUUCUCCUAAAACCGACCCUUUGUACACGUGAAAAAAACAAAAACAUUAGAAAUAGUUACUAAAAACAUGCAUUUGCUUAUUAAAAGUAUGACAUACAGGUAAAAAUAUUUGUCUCACAAAAUUUACUGGAAUAUAAAAAAAUAUAUAUAUCAAAGGUGGUGGUUCUGUCGCACAUCAAACAACAAAUCUCAAGGAUCGUCAGACUCCAGGAACGCACCAGUAACAUCUGGAAAUCUUUCCCAUGUUGGACGGGCUGUCUUUUUCUCACGCCCACAAAAGGAUGAGGUUGUGAGGCAGCCAGUAAAGGCUUGGAAUAUUGGAGGAGUCCCUGACCUUGCUAGUCCCAGUGUUACGACGGUCAUGAAUAAACACAACUCUACUUGUUUCAUGUCUCAUGAGAAGCAGCCAUUUGUAGCACCAUCACAACUAUAUCAGUAGUAGACCUAUGGCUCACGACGGACGGCGUCUAUUACCGUAACUGAGGUGACCAGCAGGUGGUGGGUGAGGCCAGUAUACCACGAGACGUUGGCCAGUGCUCACACGCUCCAGUUGCCGCUACUGUACUUCAACCCGCGUUAUUGUUCCUGUUGCUUCAUCACAAAAACAAAGAACCCUGAGUGAUGGCAACCGUGGGUUGGGUGAUGACCGUGGGCGGGUGGACAGUGACGUGGGCAUCUGUCAUCAUCGUGUUGGCCGCCCACAACACCAAGGUGACUAUCGGGCGAAUUAGUGAGUGUCUUCCUGAGUUAACGCCGGAAAUUUUGCCGCAACAACACUACAGGACCGAGUCAGGGAUUAUGUGUGCUGCCCUCGCCAUGGAGAAGAGAGCCAUCCAGUACACCUUCACAAGCAACAUCAAGAACUGCACGUUGGAGGGGGAAGGUCUGGGUGUCGACACUAACGCCCUCAAGAUGGUCGCUACCCCGCCAACAAACACGCUGGAGGAGGUCGCUCAGGGGAAACUCACCUUCGCCAGUACUCCCAUGAUAUCCAAGACCAUUAUCCUUAACUCUGACUUGGCAGUGGACGGUGAUGAUAUCUCGGCUUCACGCAACUUCUACCAAUCAGCCUACAGGCUAGUGUACCCCUGGUGGGCGGUGGACCUCAGCUACACGCGAACCAUCUACAGAGUCAGGAUCACCGUGAGACAAGACAGUUGCUGCUUAUUUAGGACCCACGACAUCGAAGUUCGUGUGGGUGAUGUACGGGAGGAGUCUGGAAACUUGUCGUCUUACACGUUGUUCUCCACCUACAAGGGUCCGUAUGACAUCUCUCAGGGACACAUCGCCUGUGACAGGAAGGACGGCGUCUCUGGCAGAUACAUCAGUAUCCAGCGAGUGACUCCUGAAGAUCAUAUGCUCCAGCUUGUUGAGGUUAAAGUGUUUGCUUCAUUACUACCAAAUUAAAAACUAUAUUACAGC